GAUGAAGAACGCAGCGAAAUGCGAUAAGUAGUGUGAAUUGCAGAAUUCAGUGAAUCAUCGAAUCUUUGAACGCACAUUGCGCCCCUCGGUAUUCCGUGGGGCAUGCCUGUUCGAGCGUCAUUUAACCCCUCAAGCCUAGCUUGGUAUUGGGUGCUUGUCCCGCCUCUCGCGCGGCGACUCACCUCAAAGUCAUUGGCAGCGCGCAUCUCGCCGGCCGUGAGCGCAGCACAGACGCGCUCUUGGCAACGACGGAUCGGCUCUCCAAAAGCUUAUUUCAACCACUGACCUCGGAUCAGGUAGGGAUACCCGCUGAACUUAAGCAUAUCAAUAAGCGGAGGA
rnacentral:misc_RNA from 1 species